AUAGAUAUGAAUUUUGGCAUUAAAACUACUUUCUCAUGAGAAAAUAAGGAUCUUUAGUUGCUUAGUUUGUGUUUGCUAUUAAUUAGCACUUGUAGAUCAUUUCUCAUGGUACAAAGCUGUUUUUCUAUGGGUGUAUAAUGAGAAAACUCCUGAAAUAAACUAGUCUUGAGCAUUAACCUCUAAGACUCACCUAGCCCAACUUUUCUUUCUCCGUUUUUCCUCACUGCUCUGUCCUACAUCAUGCCAGCUGCUGGCAGUUGGUGCCUAAACAAGGACCACUUCAGCCUUGGACGGGGACCACUUAACCUGGAAGAUUGAAGACAGAACAUGACACAGUGGUGCCUUACCGGAUCAGAGCUCCACUACAACAAGAGACAGAGGAAGAAACAGCAUGGCAUGAGAGGCAAGUACCCCAGACUGAUGUGGGCUCAUAUCCCAGAUGCUUACGCCACCCUCCUCACCUCCUCUGCUCCUUCACAAAGAUCAGAAUGGUAUAGUAGGCCACACAGGAAGCAGGCUGAUCGUUCCUGAGCUUUUCGUUAUGUGACAUUUAAAAAGU